rnacentral:rRNA from 1 species
GAUGAACGCUGGCGGCGUGCCUAAUACAUGCAAGUAGAACGCUGAAGGAAGGAGCUUGCUCUUUCCGGAUGAGUUGCGAACGGGUGAGUAACGCGUAGGUAACCUGCCUGGUAGCGGGGGAUAACUAUUGGAAACGAUAGCUAAUACCGCAUAACAGUAGAUGUUGCAUGAUAUCUACUUAAAAGGUGCAAUUGCACCACUACCAGAUGGACCUGCGUUGUAUUAGCUAGUUGGUGAGGUAACGGCUCACCAAGGCGACGAUACAUAGCCGACCUGAGAGGGUGAGCGGCCACACUGGGACUGAGACACGGCCCAGACUCCUACGGGAGGCAGCAGUAGGGAAUCUUCGGCAAUGGACGGAAGUCUGACCGAGCAACGCCGCGUGAGUGAAGAAGGGUUUCGGAUCGUAAAGCUCUGUUGUAAGAGAAGAACGAGUGUGAGAGUGGAAAGUUCACACUGUGACGGUAUCUUACCAGAAAGGGACGGCUAACUACGUG